ensembl:scaRNA small Cajal body-specific RNA 4
ACUAGAGGAUUAAGAAGGCAGAGCCUGUACAGCUGGGCUCUGUCGAUACCAUCCUCUUAGAGAAACACGAUGGAGAGAGGGGUUCAGCUUGCAGAAAGAGUGGAGACCUCACUGUGCCAUCGGACAAAC